UACAGAGGUGGCAAGCGUUGCUCGGAAUUACUGGGCGUAAAGGGCGCGUAGGCGGUCGGCAAAGUCAGGGGUGAAAUCUUUCGGCUCAACCGGAAAAGUGCCUUUGAAACUAGUCGACUCGAGCGAGAUAGGGGCACGUGGAACUUCCGGUGGAGCGGUGAAAUGCGUUGAUAUCGGAAGGAACGCCGGUGGCGAAAGCGACGUGCUGGAUCUCUUCUGACGCUGAGGCGCGAAAGCUAGGGGAGCAAACGGG
rnacentral:rRNA from 1 species